UAAUUAACACGCUCUGAUGCUAAGGAGUUCUACUCCCCCUCCCCACCUGAAAAGGACUCUGUUCCAAUUGCCUGUUGCCUCACAUUCCAUUACCUCAGUAAGUCUGCAGCCA